rnacentral:rRNA from 1 species
CCUACGGGAGGCUGCAGUGGGGAAUAUUGCACAAUGGGGGAAACCCUGAUGCAGCGACGCCGCGUGAGUGAAGAAGUAUUUCGGUAUGUAACGCUCUAUCAGCAGGGAAGAAAAUGACGGUACCGGAUUAAGAAGCCCCGGCUAAAUACGUGCCAGCAGCCGCGGUAAUACGUAGGGGGCAAGCGUUAUCCGGAUUUACUGGGUGUAAAGGGAGCGGAGACGGCAGCACAAGUCUGGAGUGAAAUGCCGGGGGUUAACCCCGGAACUGCUUUGGAAACUGUGCAGAUAGAGUGCAGGAGAGGUAAGUGGAAGUCCGAGUGUAGCGGGGAAAUGCGUAGAUAUUAGGAGGAACACCAGUGGCGAAGGCGGCUUACUGGACUGUAACUGACGUUGAGGCUCGAAAGCGUGGGGAGCAAACAGGAUUAGAUACCCUGGUAGUC